rnacentral:misc_RNA from 1 species
AAGCGAUUUGGAAUGCAAAUGUCUUGUGUUUUGGAACGCGAGAUCUGGGUCGCGGAACCCAGGGGGUUAGGAGAAUCUGUCAACUAUGAAAUUGAGUUUAAAUUGAAACUUAUACAAAAAGUUGAAAAUGAGUUAAGUUGAACUUUUCUAGUAAGUAUAGGGGAGCCAUUUUAUUUUGCUUUUAAUUGGUCCUACAUUUAUUUGUCUUUCAUGGCAAUACUCCUUCAAAUCUGAUUUUAUAAAUGAGAGGCAUAUCCUAAAAUGUGAUUUGAAAAUGUUAAUCUUGUUUUGCAGG